rnacentral:rRNA from 1 species
AACGAACGCUGGCGGCAGGCCUAACACAUGCAAGUCGAGGGGUAGCAAGAUUGUAGCAAUACAAUUGUUGACGACCGGUAAACGGGUGCGGAACACGUACACAACCUUCCUACAAGUGGGGAAUAGCCCAGAGAAAUUUGGAUUAAUACCCCGUAACAUAGCGAUGUGGCAUCACAUUGCUAUUAUAGCUUCGGCGCUUGUUGAUGGGUGUGCGGCUGAUUAGAUAGUUGGCGGGGUAACGGCCCACCAAGUCUACGAUCAGUAGCUGAUGUGAGAGCAUGAUCAGCCACACGGGCACUGAGACACGGGCCCGACUCCUACGGGAGGCAGCAGUAAGGAAUAUUGGACAAUGGACGCAAGUCUGAUCCAGCCAUGCCGCGUGAAGGAUUAAGGUCCUCUGGAUUGUAAACUUCUUUUAUAAGGGACGAAAAAAGGUCUUUCUAGAUCGUCUGACGGUACCUUAUGAAUAAGCACCGGCUAACUCCGUGCCAGCCGCCGCAGUAACAC